rnacentral:tRNA from 1 species
GCUGUGAUGGCAGAGUGGUUGAGGUACUGGACUUGAAAUCCCUGCACAGGUUCAAAUCCUACUUACAGCG